rnacentral:lncRNA from 1 species
CUUGGAGUGCUGUUGUUAGGAAUUGAACAUCCUAUGAGAGGGACAAUUAGAAGGAAUUGAUUUCAAUAUUCUUUAAGGUAAUAAUGAAGAACUAGUGUGCUAAAGUGCUCUGAAAAAGACCCAUAUAUUUUGUAGACCAAAUGAUCAGAUAGCGAGAGUGCACUUCACUGGGAAAUCUUCAUUCUGGAUGAAUCCAUCUCUGCAAAACAGGGUCCACUGGAGUUGUUGUUUGCAGAUGACCUGAAAAGAGGAUGGAUGGAAUAUUGGAG